GAAUGGACAAAUAAGGAAUUAAAUUUUAGAUAAAGGUACUAUUUAUUUGAUCUUUAACGAACUAAACAAACUCCAAAGAAUUUUUGGUCUCUCACGUAUUGGUAAAGUCUGAUUGUAACCUUUGUAAUAUUCGAUUAAACACAUGAACGUUCGAUUACUUAAAAUGGGCACUUUUGAUCCGUUUCCGUGGGAAUAAUCACAAAUCUUCAGAAAUUAUUAGCCGUUCCACCAUUACCACAAAAAAUAAAACUAGAUUAAAGAUUUCCCAAGCCUUCUGGCUCAUAAAAUCACUCAUAGAUAUGCUAACAAAAAUAGGCAAUAAAAUAGGUCAACUGCUCUGUAUAAACAAUUGCACCAUAUCAGCCAGUACCUGAACUAUGCUAGGCUAUGCGAAAAACUGCCUCCAGAGAACUCAUUGCUAACAGAAAUCAUCAUAAGCAAACAUGCACAAAUCUGCUAACUUGAAUCCAACAUUUAAUUGUGGAUCUCUCUCUCAUACACAUCACAUUCACAUUAAUCCAUACUGGAUACAAUAAUCAUUCGUGGUCGAACCAAAAUAAUGUUACAUGUCUGCACAAAUUCACAAUUAUGCACGGUUCAACAAAAUUAAGAGGUCUGUACAAAUUCAGGUGAUAAAAUUAAGGUCACCAUGUACAUUCUUUGGACAUCUACUCAGAUCUAGCCAAGUAUAUACAAAAAUAUAUAUAUAUAUAUAUAAAAUACAUGUUCAGGAACGUUUCCUCUUGUUAGAGAAUAAAUAUUUAGCAAGAGAAGCAAAAUGUCCCACUCUUUCAAAUUAUUCAUCCACCAAC
rnacentral:lncRNA from 1 species